AUCCUCUUCCUUGUCCUCAUGACCUCUACCCACAUAGAGUGAAGGAAGGAGGAGAAGAAGAGAAGCAUAUCGAGCGAGCUUCGUCGUCGUCAUUCGGUCGGGCACCAUUACCAGUUGAAGCUGCCAGCAUGAUCUUAACUUCCCCUCCUCCUGCUCUUCAGCUCCUUGGAGGGAAGACGAUCGAGAUCAUGUGGUAGCUUCACCUGUUGCUGGUAGCACGAGACAGAUAACCCUAAUUCUUCGGCCUGGUUGGAAAGAACUUAAUUUGUUCCCUAAGGUCUAGCUAGAGAAGAACUUGACCUUGGGAUUGUGAAGAACCUUCGCAGUCAAAGUCAUUCGAGAGACUCCAUCUCACAUUCGCAAACCUGCCUGAGAUUCGACGGGUUAAGGAGACCGCAGUGGCUGUGUGUCAAUUAGCUGUAAAUUUAAUUUGCUCAUGUGGGUUCUUGUCUGUCGCUUCAAUUUUGUGCUCUAGGGUUUCUUCCAUGGUUGAUGGGGCUGUUGUAUUUAGUGACAAUAUCUAAACCAGAAAAAAUAUAUUAUUCAUAUUGUGCAGGAUUGCCCAGGAACUGUUCUGGACAGUUAAAAAACAAAAAACAAAAAAAAAAAUGG